UUCUCUUCUCGAGGGGCAUAUCUGCCCAAUUGAUAGAGAGAGGAAAGGAGACUGGAGCCCCAUUUCCGGCGACCUCCCGCAAGGCGAGGUCGUCAGAGGUUUUAGGAGCCUCCGGCAACCUCGAACAGGGAAGGAUGUCGUCGGAAAGGGGGGCUCGGAGCUGGCCUCCCUCCUCCUCUCUAUCUCUACUAGUUGUCGGAAAUGAGGACUCCGAUCCCCCUAGCUCCCCCUCUCGUUCUUUAUUGAUUCUUGUAAUUUUAUUCCUGGACUUUCUUAUCGCCUUUGAUUCUGCGUUUGAAACACAAUGUUCUGCCGAUUUUUACUCGAACUGAUUCUCUGGGCUUUGAAUUGGAUUGAAUUAUCUUAUUACAUUCCCUGACAUUUUUUUUAAUUUCCUGGAAAUUGUUGUUCUUAAUUGCUGAUUAAUGAUCCUAUCGACUUUAAUCAGUGCAUGAGGGGUUCAUGAAUAUGUAAGGGUUUUGGGUUAUUUGUCGAGAACAAAUCGAAAGAGCUUUCCCUGAUCUUUCUAUGUUUUGUUCAAGUAGGAGAAAUCAAUGAUUUAUGGAUCCAUGGGGUUGAAUGUCUGUUGUGUUCUUUGCUGCUUUAGCUACAUGGGCUCUUGUGAUGUGCACGAGCCAGGAGUGCGGGAACCCGAACUGCAGGGGCCUUAAGAACACGGAGGAGUUUGAUAUCUAGCUCGAGAUCAGGACUGCGUGAAGAAUCUUCGCCCCCAGACAAGUCCAAGAGGUGCCUAUUUGUACUUCCUAUUAAUCACCAUCAGCAAAUUGAAGCAGAAUUGAAGAUGGUAGUGGCACCACCCAAUGGGAGAGCUGUUCUUGUCUUUCGAGCGAGAAAAAAGAGCCAGAACGACGUACUUUUGGGUCCAACAUAGGAACGUACCGAAUCAACAUAUAACGGGCCACAUUAGCGUUUUGCAACAGGGACUAGAUGCAAACCUAGACGGAAGGACUAACUUGUUCAAAUGUUUCAAAUGGUGUGGCUAGUUCGUAUAACCAAAAUCUUUUAGGGAUAUCUUUUCAAAUUUCGUAUCUUUCAAGGAACAAAUUGUGUGUUUUGUCUUUAUUGAAGCGAUUACUAUUCUUUAUGUUUCUUUUAAUUUUUAUAAGACAUCCAGUGAUAAGAAUGGAGAGAUAUAGUGCAAUAGUACGUGCCCUCGCAUAGGAAAAUCAAGAGAUUCCAUAUAAUUAGAUUCUCAUUUAUAGGACUCCUGUAAUCAUUUAUUUAGAGUUAUACUUCUUAUACUGAACUUAUAUACCUCAUUUGCAAGCAAAGCUUUAAAAAAAAAAGGGACAUUUAAUGAUUUUUUUUUUUGCUGAAUACAUUUAAUGAUGUUUGGAACAAGCAACUAACCUAGAAUACUUAAAUAUAGUAACUCCUACUUACCGGAAGGGCCGGUUCACAGCAUCAGUAAGGACCACAGCUGCAGGUUCAUCUGAUGGUCAUAAUGUGCCUCUCAAAACAAGUCUUUUUAAUAGAAAUUAAAGGGAAAAAAAAUCGAAAUGAUCGUGCUAUAUAUAUGUGCGUCAAAGAUAGAGAGAAAUGUGGCUGAAAUCCUCACCUAUUAUGUGAGGUGAAUUUCAUUGAAUAUAUAGAAUUGUACAGGGCAUGUACGUACAUGGAAAGAAUUAAUUAUAAAUAAUUAUGUGCCUGUAAUACAUCGCCUAUACAUAGAAAGCUAGGAUUUGAAAUCAUCUCCUCUAUUAGUGGGGAUCUACUUCCGUUCCAGUCCGGUCAACUGGGAUUUUGCAGAUUGUGAGAUUAUCAACGAAGUAGUGUAUGCUCGAUGAUGCUAAUCAUCAAAUUUCCUUGUAAGUUGUAACUACACUAGGUUUAUCAGGUCUCCAUGUCAAUGCCUCACCGUGUAAGGCCAACCCUACUUAUGGCUGGUACAGAAGGUCUAAGUGAUCGAGUCACGAAUUUAUCAGAUCCAUUCUCUUGUAUGUGAGAGUGCUUUGACGACACAUUGUAAUCUCACAAAAAAAAAAAGGACAUUAGGCAAAAUAUGUGUUGCUUUUUCGUGUGGGUGUAAGGCGAAUCAAAGAGCCGAGAAUUUGAUGGUCAUUGGCAGCAGAUGGUCUCCUCUCCAGGACCGUAUGUUUUCUCUUGUGGAGAAAAUUAAGGUGCGAAUUUCAGAUCGAGUGGCGUAUAUAAUCAAGGAUCGAUCAGAUAGAGCAUCAGUUGCAAUUAUGAUUGUCUUAAUUGGGAUA